GAUGAACGCUGGCGGCGUGCCUAAUACAUGCAAGUCGAACGCUUUGUCUUUACUUGCUAUGAAGCGCUUGCUCUGCUUUGAUUUUAUCUGCCAAAGUGUGGCGAACGGGUGAGUAACACGUGGGUAACCUACCUCUUAGCAGGGGAUAACAUUUGGAAACAAGUACUAAUACCGUAUAACACUAACAACCGCAUGGUUGUUAGUUGAAAGAUGGUUCUGCUAUCACUAAGAGAUGGCCCCGCGGUGCUUGAGCUAGCUGGUAUGCGAAUGGCUUACCAAGGGGAGGAUGCGUAGCCGAGUUAGGAGACCGAUCUGCCACAGUAGGAUUGAGACACGGCCCAUAGGCACACGGGAAGAAGCAGACGGGAAUCGUCCACGAUGGGCGCAAGCCUGAUGGAGCAACGCCGCGUGUGUGAUGAAGGGUUUCGGCGCGUAAAACACUGGUAUAAGGGAAGAACGACAUUGAGAGUAACUGUGCAGUGUGUGACGGUAUCUUAUCAGAAAGGAACGGCUAAAUACGUG
rnacentral:rRNA from 1 species